UACGGGGGGGGCAAGCGUUGUUCGGAAUUAUUGGGCGUAAAGGGCGCGUAGGCGGCCUGGCAAGUGGAAGGUGAAAUCCCUCGGCUUAACCGAGGAACUGCCUCCCAAACUGCUUGGCUCGAGACCGGGAGAGGUGAGUGGAAUUCCCAGUGUAGCGGUGAAAUGCGUAGAUAUUGGGAGGAACACCAGUGGCGAAGGCGGCUCACUGGACCGGUACUGACGCUGAUGCGCGAAAGCGUGGGGAGCAAACGGG
rnacentral:rRNA from 1 species